GCUCGUUUUAAUGGACCUAAAGCUGGUUUACCAAUGAACCUAGAAGAAGACGAAGAACCAGAGGAACAUCGCUGCUCUGCCUUCAGCCUCUAAGACGAUCAGGACGGAUAUUAAAAAACAUGUGAGGCUACAGAUCCUCAGCAGAUCAACCCUCAGACCUCGUAGAUCCAAACCUCCAGAUGUGGGUUCAGUCUGGAGCUCCUGAUGUGUGACCCUCCUCCUCCAUCCCAUGUUCUCCAUCACUCUGGGCUGUCAAACAUCCCCACCAGACCACUGUUCCUGCAGAUGGAAAGCGGUGAUUUGAGGCUCCUCUGAACUACUGAGUGCAGUGAAAUGGACGUUUAUUUACAUGAAAAUGCCACGGCUUAUUACCACAACACUGAUUCAGAGCAGGCGUCGGGAUUGAUAACCCCAUAAAGCAAACAGCGCCGGCCUUAUAAAACACAGGAACAGUGGAGCAUGAGCUCCCCGAGUAUAAACAAUCCAGCCCAUAAUAUGAGCCGGUGAUGUAAUGAUUCCAGCCAUGAUGUGACCCACUUUGUUUCCAUGGGUAACUCACUUAGAGACACAUUACGCUGGAUGGAUGAAUGGCUGGAUGGAGGGAUGAAUAGAGCAGGAAGUUGGAAGGUAAGCAGAGGUACAAAGAAAGUCUGGAGAGGGAAAAUAAAGGUUUUUUUGGACACUGGCAUCCACGUUUUUGAUAAGUUUAUGCAAUAAUAUGCAGCAUCCUGCUUUUUGAUACUUUGGUGCAUUAAUAUGCAGUUUUGGGAUGUUUUUGAUUAUUAUCCACAUUUUUGACACUUUUGUGCAAUCAUUUGUUUUGUUGCAAUAAUAUCCAGAUUUUUGUUAAUUUGGUGCAAUAAUAUCCUGGUCUUUGAGAGCAUUCCAAGUUUUUGAAGCUUUUGUGCAACUAUAGCCAGGUUUUUGAUAUUUUGAUGCAUUGGUAUCUGGGUUUUUCAUAUGUUUGUACAAAAAUAUCUAGGUUUUUUGAUGUUUUGGUGCAACAAUAUCCAGAUUUUUGUGACGUUUGUGCAAUAAUUUCAAAGUUUUUGAUGGUUUUGUUUAUUAAUACCCAGGUUGUUAGUUCCUUAAUAUCCUGGUGUUUGAUGUCUUGGUGCAUUAGUAUCCAGGUUUUGGUAUUUUGGUGCAUUGAUAUCCAGGUGCUUGAUACCUUUAUGCAUUAAUAUCUACAUUGUUCCCUCUAACCAACUGUGCAUAAUGUUAGUGUGUUAAUGAGAGGAGUGAGCAGAAAGCAGUCAGAGAGCAGCAGUGACUUGGAGAGAACAUGACAGAGAUGGAAGUGCAGCGAUAUGAGAUAAACUAAUUCCAGCCGACCCUUCUUCCUGCACUCUGCCUCCUCCGUCUAUAUCCAUCCAUCUCUCCUGCCGGUCAUCGCCUCAUUCUCUCCGACUUUCCGGGAAUAAAAGCGUGAUGUUUUCCCGCCGAUGGCGAGCGGCUUUGCUUCCCGCAGGCUCUUUAAAGUGAAACUGGAUCCGUGUACAUCUAAUCGGAAAGCUUUUAACUAGCAGAGCUCUGGGUUGCCAGGUGGGUAAAGUAUUUAGCAGCCGGGACGCUCAGUGUGUUUGUGUGUCUGUGUGUGUUUGUGUGCACGUGUGUGUGAGUGUGUUAAAGCAUUUAGUGGUCAGGACUCUCAGUGCAGCUCUUGACUUUCUGUUUGUGUGUUCAGCCUGAGUAGAGCCAGCUGUUUAUGUGUUUGGGUGCAGGCUUUUAUGGGUUUUAUGGUGCUUUUCUGCAACUUUUUGGAGAGAUUUUGCAGCAAAUAUCCAAAAUAGAUAUGCUGAUGUCUGUGUUAUUGUUAUCUUUUUGUUUUAAUAUGCAGAUUAUUGAUGUUUUACUGCAACAAAAUGCAGGGUUUUGAUAUUUUACUGCAAUAAAAUGCAAGUUCUUGAUACUUUAAUAUAUUAAUAUGCAGGUUUUUGAUACUUUGGUGCAAUAAUAUGUAGGUUUUUGAGACUUUUGCAAAACAGCAUCCAAGUUUUUGAUAAUUUUGUGCAUGAAUAUCUUGGUUUUGGAUGCUUUUGUGUAUGUUUAUCCAGGUUUUUGACAUUUUUGUGCAUUUUUAUUGAGGUUUUUGAUAUUUUGGUGCAUUAACAUCCAGGUUUUGGCUACUUUUGUGCAUUUUUA
ensembl:lncRNA